AGAGUUUGAUCCUGGCUCAGGAUGAACGUUGGCGGCGUGCUUAACACAUGCAAGUCGAACGGGAAACCUUUUAUUGAAGCUUCGGCAGAUUUAGAUUGUUUCUAGUGGCGGACGGGUGAGUAACGCGUGGGUAACCUGCCUUAUACAGGGGGAUAACAGUCAGAAAUGACUGCUAAUACCGCAUAAGCGCACAGAGCUGCAUGGCUCGGUGUGAAAAACUCCGGUGGAAUAAGAUGGACCCGCGUUGGAUUAGCUAGUUGGUGAGGUAACGGCCCACCAAGGCGACGAUCCAUAGCCGGCCUGAGAGGGUGAACGGCCACAUUGGGACUGAGACACGGCCCAGACUCCUACGGGAGGCAGCAGUGGGGAAUAUUGCACAAUGGGGGGAACCCUGAUGCAGCGACGCCGCGUGAAGGAAGAAGUAUCUCGGUAUGUAAACUUCUAUCAGCAGGGAAGAAAAUGACGGUACCUGACUAAGAAGCCCCGGCUAACUACGUGCCAGCAGCCGCGGUAAUACGUAGGGGGCAAGCGUUAUCCGGAUUUACUGGGUGUAAAGGGAGCGUAGACGGAUGGACAAGUCUGAUGUGAAAGGCUGGGGCUCAACCCCGGGACUGCAUUGGAAACUGCCCGUCUUGAGUGCCGGAGAGGUAAGCGGAAUUCCUAGUGUAGCGGUGAAAUGCGUAGAUAUUAGGAGGAACACCAGUGGCGAAGGCGGCUUACUGGACGGUAACUGACGUUGAGGCUCGAAAGCGUGGGGAGCAAACAAAAUUAGAUACCCUGGUAGUCCACGCGGUAAACG
rnacentral:rRNA from 1 species